CCUGAUCCAGCAAUGCCGCGUGUGUGAAGAAGGCCUUCGGGUUGUAAAGCACUUUUGUCCGGAAAGAAAUCCUUGGCUCUAAUACAGUCGGGGGAUGACGGUACCGGAAGAAUAAGCACCGGCUAACUCCGUGCCAGCAGCCGCGGUAAUACGUAGGGUGCGAGCGUUAAUCGGAAUUACUGGGCGUAAAGCGUGCGCAGGCGGUUUGUUAAGACCGAUGUGAAAUCCCCGGGCUCAACCUGGGAACUGCAUUGGUGACUGGCAGGCUAGAGUAUGGCAGAGGGGGGUAGAAUUCCACGUGUAGCAGUGAAAUGCGUAGAGAUGUGGAGGAAUACCGAUGGCGAAGGCAGCCCCCUGGGCCAAUACUGACGCUCAUGCACAAAAGCGUGGGGAGCAAACAGGAUUAGAUACCCUGGUAGUCCACGCCCU
rnacentral:rRNA from 1 species